rnacentral:lncRNA from 1 species
CAUUUUUGACUUUUAUUUUUAAAACUAGUCUAUUUUAAUUAUUUUUGAUCAAUUUAUAUAAUUUCAACAAAUGGGUCCUCUAAAACUAGUUCCUCAGCUCAACCUCCAAUUAAACACCAAAUUCCACAGAAAAUAUCAACACAAAAAAGAAAAACAACAAUAACAAUGCUUCAGGCUAGGGUCAGCUAUAUAAAUCCACUAUAAUCUAUUCUAUUUAGACCUAUUUCAUUUAAAAGCUUAACAAUCUGCCUUUUAAGACAAAUGGGUUUAUCUAAAGCUAAAAGAUUUUUUUUUUAAUUUUAAAAAAUUCAACAUGUAAAUAAAGAAGAGAAAAAUGGAGCAGAAAAUGGCUCCAAAGUUUCAGCAUUUCGAAAUAAGAUCUCAAAUUCAGAUCAGAUCCAUAUGUAAUUGCAAACAAAGAAAAUGACACUGCAACAUAUAUAAGGUCCAUUCGUGUUCUUACUUCUUAAAAUGAUAAUUAACUGAGCAAAUGAUAAGGGUUUUUGGAGUACCAGGUAAAUGUCUGAUAAGUUGCGUGUGCAAAUUUUGUGUAUCUAUAUUCCGAUAUACUAUAUACGUAUGGUUGAAGAUGACUAUGCAGAAUUCGGAUUCGCCAUUGACAAUAGAGAGAGAAUGAAAGAGAGACAGGGACAGCUUUUUCUAUGGAUGCGUGAAUUUUUUCUCUAAUGUAGGAACAAAUAUUUCUUUAUGUACUUCUUUGUGUUAUUUCA